rnacentral:rRNA from 1 species
CUAGAGGGUUCGAUUCUGGCUCAGGAUGAACGCUGGCGGCGUGCCUAACACAUGCAAGUCGAACGGAAACUAGACGCUUCGGAGACUUCGGUCAAUGUUGUUAGUUUAGUGGCGGACGGGUGAGUAACGCGUGGAUAACCUGCCAUAUACAGGGGGAUAACAGUUAGAAAUGACUGCUAAUACCGCAUAAGCGCACAGUCUCGCAUGGGACAGUGUGAAAAACUCCGGUAGUAUAUGAUGGAUCCGCGUCUGAUUAGCCAGUUGGCGGGGUAACGGCCCACCAAAGCGACGAUCAGUAGCCGGCCUGAGAGGGUGAACGGCCACAUUGGGACUGAGACACGGCCCAAACUCCUACGGGAGGCAGCAGUGGGGGAUAUUGCACAAUGGGGGAAACCCUGAUGCAGCGAACCGCCGCGUGAGUGAAGAAGUAUUUCGGUAUGUAAAGCUCUAUCAGCAGGGAAGAUAAUGACGGUACCUGACUAAGAAGCACCGGCUAAAUACGUGCCAGCAGCAGC